rnacentral:misc_RNA from 1 species
AUGGUUGGCCAAAAUUCCUCUUCAACCUGCAAUAAACUGAACAAAACAAAGCAAAGAACAAUGUUAAAUUUCGAUCAGAUAAGAGAUAACAAAACAAAAAGGCCCCCAGUUUGAAGAACUUCAAGUAAACCUGUGCUACAUAGUCAACAAUUUGCCAAAAACAACAGCCAUCAAUAAUCAAGGGCUCCAGAAAUUGCAUA